AGAAAGUAGAGGACAACAAUCAUGAGUUUAUAGAAGAGGAAACACUUACGACAUAGGGCUCGAUAUUGUGUGCUCCGCAUCGUUCCCGCUGGACAAACAGCCGGUACACCAUCUUCGUACAAUUCUCUUGGUGUGUUCCAAUCAAGAGGGCCAUAAUUGCACACGAGAGCCUCUACACGAACUUCUCCGUAUGCAAUGGCUAUUGUAUGUUCGGUUGACGACGUCGCCAUGUUUUUGACUUUGAAUCUCGAUCGCUGUGUGUAAAUUGCACGACCGCAACCGAUCCGGCUGAUUGUCGACAACGCGAAUGGAAUAUAGUUAAAUGAAACAUAGAGAGUAAUAGAAAGAAAGAGAUAAAAGUAUAAAGAAAAGAGCCAGGAUUAUAGGAAUAGUGGAGAAAGAAUCAAUGUAAACCUUUGGCCAAAUUCAAAGGCGAGUUAACAGUGUCUACACAUACUGGAUCGACCAUUCACAAAGUGAAAGCCUUGGCACAUAAAAGUCGUUUCGAUCAAUUCAACUUAGGCUAUUGCCACGGUGCUCAGAAUGACAAUACGUGUGGAUUUUCUCGCGAACUUGCGCACACAUUUACACGGUAUUCGACGUGUAUCAUUUAGGUAUUCUUGGAGUUUUCGCAAACUCAAUUAUUCCUCCACGGCCGAUAAAAUCUUCAAUUACUCCAGACAACGAACUAUUUUGGUACUUUGAUCUCGAGCAAAAGAAACAAAAAAAGGAAACAAAAUUUUUAAACAAUUCUUUAAAAGUGAAUUCUUGAUUGAAAGUAAUGGUGGCAAAAUUUAAAAUAUCAUGUUGAAAAAAUUAAUUUUGACUUUGUACAAUUCUUUCGACUUCAAAGAAAGAAAAAGAAAAAAAACUCAAAAAAACCAUCAUAUAAAUAAAAUUUAAUUUAACGAGAUACAUUACAAUUGAACGUAAUGCACAGAUAUACAAUGAAAUUUCUAUACCAAGUUUAUUUUCGUAAAAAAAAGAGAGAGAAAGAAAAAAUAUAUAAAAUAAAAAAAAAUGAUAUCGGUGCGAAAAUAUAAUGAGCUCACCCGAAUUCCGCCGAAUCGAAAUCUUCUACUUCGUCGUACCAUGAUUGAAUAUGAAAGCGAAUCCUUGCGAUGGAUGACAGGUUUCCCAUGUUAUCUAUCUCGAAAAUGUGCACAUUCUGCCAUACUCCAAAUCCUGCAAAAAAUAUAUAUUUAUGAUAUAAUAUUUAUAUCUAGAAUGAUUAUAAUAUCUCGAAAAUUAAUUAAAAAUAUUUGCAGUGAUAACAAAUAAUAUCUAAUAGUUAAUAUAAACAUUUAUGAAAUUAAAGUUAUUGUAUAUGUUAAAAGAUCAUCAUAUUUAUUCUAUAUGUUUAAAGAUCAUUGGUUCUACAUAUGAAGACAAUACUAAUGAAGACAAAUAACUAUAGAAGGUUUUAAUACAAUUUUAAUUGAUUUUAUGAUUUCACGUAAUAUUUGUUUUAAAUUUAUUCAAUUUAGAAUCUAACCUAGAAAUCAAUUCCACUCAAUAAACAUAGAUUUAAUCUAGAAUCCAAUUGUAUUUAACGAAACAAGGGAAUCAACUUCGAAAUUAUAGCCAAUGAAAUUAAUGAACUAACUUAGGAAUUAUUUAGAGAAUUAAUUUCCACUGUGAUUUUAUGUGAUUUUCAAAUGAUUUUGAGAAUCAAACUAGGAAUUGUAUCUUAAAACUUAGAGAACCAAUCUACACAAAUAGAAAAAUUUGUCAGAUGUGAUUCACAUGUGACUGAUCUCCCGUUUAUUUCAAUCUCAUACUCCAGAUCGUUUUAAUAAAAG